UACAUGGGGUGCAAACGUUGCUCGGAAUCAUUGGGCGUAAAGCGCGCGUAGGCGGUUGCUUAAGUCGGAUGUGAAAGCCCUCGGCUUAACUGAGGAAGUGCAUCCGAAACUGAGCAGCUAGAGUACGAAAGAGGGUCGCGGAAUUCCCGGUGUAGAGGUGAAAUUCGUAGAUAUCGGGAGGAACACCAGUGGCGAAGGCGGCUCUCUGGGCUCUACCUGACGCUGAGACGCGAAAGCGUGGGGAGCGAACCGG
rnacentral:rRNA from 1 species